AAAAUAUAAUAUUAUAUAUUUCUAAAUUUCGUCAUUGUUUAAAGUGACAAAUCUGAUUUGCGGUGGCUGCUAAUGCACUUGUUCUUAGCUUUUUCUCUUUUCUCUCCCUUUUCACACUUCAACAAAAUCCACUUCCAAGUUCCAAAGCUGCCUCUUGUUUCACUACUUCUACACCAUUGGGUUAAUUGGGUUUGGAGAAGGGAAGGUUUUGAAGCAUGCACCAGAAAUCAAACGGCACAAAUCACUCGGAAUUCUCUGAUCCCAAUACUAACACUAGAACUGAUAAUAACCCAGUACAGAGUACAGUAAAUUCUCAACCUUGGUGGGGUAUAUCCCACCAUGGAAUCUCUAAAGAUCAUGUUUUUGGUGGAACAACUAUGAGUUUGUCUCAACCAAAUAAUCUAAAUGGUGAUUUUGGAACCCAAAAUAGCAAUUCUCUUUCACAAGAAAGGCAGAGUACUGGCCAUGAUGACGGAAGUGAUCUUGGUCUUACUAGUAAAGAAAUCAUACAAUCAGAUAGAAAAUGUGGAGAAGACCAGCAUAUGCAGAGGGUUUCACCGGUUACGCCUCCAACAAUGACGGAAUAUCUUGCACCGCCUCCCCAGCUAGAAUUUGUCAGCCACUCAAUUGCAUGUUCAUCAUAUCCGUAUUCUGAUCCGUAUUAUGGAGUGAUGCCUGCUUAUGGGCCUCAUGCUUUGGUACAGCCUCAUUGUCUUGGAUUGUCCUCGGCUAGAAUGGCCUUACCCCUUGACAUGGCAGAGGAGCCUGUCUAUGUCAAUGCCAAGCAGUACCAUGGAAUUCUAAGACGCAGGCAGUCCCGUGCCAAGGCUGAGCUAGAAAAGAAGCUAAUAAAAGUUCGUAAGCCUUAUCUCCACGAGUCCCGUCAUUUGCAUGCCAUGAGGAGGGCAAGAGGAAGCGGAGGCCGUUUUCUGAACACAAAGAAUAAUGAUGGUACAGCCGCUAACCCCACAGCCAACAACAACACAACCAGUUCUGGUGCAACUACUAAAGCGGAUCAAAUCAACUCGUCGAGCACCAAGCCCGUCUGGUCUGAUUCCUACACUGAUCUUCGUGAACCAACUGACCGCCACAUGCAGGGAAUCCACCAAAACAAGACAUACUCCAACGUCAAUAGUGGCAACAGCUGCUACCUAAACAAUCAGGGAUUUCAGUUAUCCGCAUACCAUUCGCUCUUGGGUGAUCGUAGGGCGGAGGAAGGAGAACUCUCAGGGAACCACCGUGACCGAAUUAUCACUAACGGGACUCACAGGGCCCUUACCAUCAAAUAGGUAUCCUAAGGGAUGAAGGGUUUGCUCCAGAAAUGCCAAUGGUACAUGAAUAGGCUUAUGAGGGUACUGUCAAGGAAGUAAAGCUGUUCGAAUUUCUCACCAAUAAGAUUAUAAAAUUAUGGCAAUAAUACCCUUGAGAUCACUUUGUCUAGAGGCAAAUAUGGAGACAUUUCUAAUCAACUUGAGGAGGAGAUAAGUAUAAUGGCUGCAGUAGGUUUUCAAGUUGGAGAGUUCUGGCUGUACAAAAGGGGAUGGCAAAGAUUUAACGGUGCAGGGGCGCAUAUAAAGGAUGACAAUCGUGAAGGGUGGUGCAUAUGCUUAAGGAAGAGAAUACAAUUGUCAAGGCUGCAUGGUGUUGUAGAGAACAAAAUGCAAAAGCACAGAGAAGGGAACAAAAUGCAAAAGCACAAAGAAGGGCGUACGGACAGAGGAACAGUUGGAGGCGCAUGA